rnacentral:rRNA from 1 species
UACGUAGGGCGCGAGCGUUGUCCGGAAUUAUUGGGCGUAAAGAGCUCGUAGGCGGUUUGUCGCGUCGGUUGUGAAAACCCAAGGCUCAACCUUGGGCCUGCAAUCGAUACGGACAGACUAGAGUACUGCAGGGGAGACUGGAAUUCCUGGUGUAGCGGUGGAAUGCGCAGAUAUCAGGAGGAACACCGGUGGCGAAGGCGGGUCUCUGGGCAGUAACUGACGCUGGAGGAGCGAAAGCGUGGGGGAGCGAACAGG